rnacentral:rRNA from 1 species
GAUGAACGCUAGCGACAGGCUUAACACAUGCAAGUCGAGGGGCAGCAUAGAAGUAGCAAUACGUUGGUGGCGACCGGCGCACGGGUGAGUAACGCGUAUGCAACCUAACAAUCAGAGGGGAAUAACCCGGCGAAAGUCGGACUAAUACCGCAUAAAACAGGGGCACCGCAUGGUGAUAUUUGUUAAAGAAAUUCGCUGAUAGAUGGGCAUGCGUUCCAUUAGGUAGUUGGUGAGGUAACGGCUCACCAAGCCGACGAUGGAUAGGGGAACUGAGAGGUUGGUCCCCCACACUGGUACUGAGACACGGACCAGACUCCUACGGGAGGCAGCAGUGAGGAAUAUUGGUCAAUGGGCGGGAGCCUGAACCAGCCAAGUCGCGUGAAGGAAGAAGGAUCUAUGGUUCGUAAACUUCUUUUGCAGGGGAAUAAAGUGCGGGACGUGUCCUGUUUUGUAUGUACCCUGAGAAUAAGGAUCGGCUAACUCCGUGCCAGCCGCCGCAGUAAGAC